GGAGGCCUAGAAAAAAGUGCAAAGCAGACAAAUUACACUACAAGGAAGAAGUAAAUUUACCAAAUGCCCUUUUCUCCAGCCACCCCGCACGUCCCCCCGGCAGAACCAAGCAUCAGUGAGCUGUGCUGAGCAGCUGGGAGCAAUGGAGCAGCUCAGCGCUCAGAUUGCUGGUAAUCUGCCCCCAGAUCACUCGUAAUUUGUCCCCAAAUUGCUCGCAAUUUGUCGCACCCCGUCGGAAGCCAUGCUGGAGGGGCUUAACCCACUGCCCUGCGCCACCAGAACAACGGGGGCAUCCCCCUUACCCGCUGCUACGAGCCCCGUCCCGGAGCUCAGCACGCCUGGAGGCGUCCCCCCGGCUGGUUCUGCGUGAUGGAGCCUCAUGACACUGUAAUCUUUCCAGAGCUAUUAAGAAGAGGAACUCCAAUCUCCAUGAUCCAACAGCUUCAUGGAAAAUGGGAGGACCCAACAUUACUGGGACUAGCUCCCAAGAUUACUGCAGUUGAGGACCAGCUUGUGAAUGCCAACUGGUUACAGUGUGGUGAAUAAGCAGGUCUAACAUCCAAACCACUGGAGAAACAGCAAGCUGAGAUACCUUCUAAGCUUCUACUACACACAAGGACAUGCUUUGAGCAGGAACUUUAAUACUGACUUGGAAAUGAGAGGAAUUCCAAGGUUUUCAAGCCAAAGUGAUUCUGCAGUUUUUAAAACAAGAACAUUUUCCUUUAAGAAUAAAAGCUAAACAAACUUGCAAUUUAAAA